CAGCCCCCUUAACUCCAAAGCUGUAUACAGCGUUGCUAUUAUUGGUAUUUUUAGCCCAAUAACCGCUGUUUUAAUCAACAUUUAUUCACGAGAUCUUAUGGUUUAUAUUUAUUUCUUUUAAUGUUAUUAUUUUGGUCCAUUUUGGCCAGGGAAGCUGGAUUAGUUGUUUGAUAUUUUUAAAACUAUAAUGCUACAUCUAUCAACAUUUAUUUAGAUGUUAUCAUGGUAUGCA